rnacentral:tRNA from 1 species
UCUAAAAUGGCAGAAUUCAUGCCUUGGACUUAAACCCCAAUCAUAAAGAUUUCAAUCUUUUUUUAGAA